GUCGUAUUAAACGUCUAUGGAGGACGGCGGGAUUGUAGACCCCGUGUUGCGAAAGCAGCUCCCUAGGUUCGAUUCCUAGAUGCGGCACCA
rnacentral:tRNA from 3 species